rnacentral:rRNA from 1 species
GUGGGGAGCAAACAGGAUUAGAUACCCUGGUAGUCCACGCCGUAAACGAUGUCAACUAGCCGUUGGAAUCCUUGAGAUUUUAGUGGCGCAGCUAACGCAUUAAGUUGACCGCCUGGGGAGUACGGCCGCAAGGUUAAAACUCAAAUGAAUUGACGGGGGCCCGCACAAGCGGUGGAGCAUGUGGUUUAAUUCGAAGCAACGCGAAGAACCUUACCAAGGCUUGACAUCCAGUGCAAAGCUGUAGAAAUACAGUAGAGGUUAACAUUGAGACAGGUGGUGCAUGGUUGUCGUCAGCUCGUGCCGUGGGGUGUUUGGUUAAGUCCAGUAACGAGCGCAACCCUUACCGUUAGUUACUCCAUUAAGUUGAGAUACUUUAACGGGACUGCUAGUGUAAGCUAGAGGAAGGUGGGGAUGACGUCAAAUCAGCAUGCCCCUUAUGUCUUGGGCUACACACGUGCUACAAUGGUCAGUACAAACAGUUGCAAUCUCGCAAGAGGGAGCUAAUCUGAAAAAGCUGAUCUCAGUUCGGAUUGAGGGCUGCAACUCGCCCUCAUGAAGCCGGAAUCGCUAGUAAUCGCGAAUCAGCAACGUCGCGGUGAAUACGUUCUCGGGUCUUGUACACACCGCCCGUCACACCAUGAGAGUUGAUAA